rnacentral:rRNA from 1 species
UACAGAGGUCCCAAGCGUUGUUCGGAUUCAUUGGGCGUAAAGGGUGCGUAGGCGGCGCGGUAAGUCGGGUGUGAAAUCUUGGAGCUUAACUCCGAAACUGCAUUCGAUACUGCCGUGCUUGAGGACUGGAGAGGAGACUGGAAUUUACGGUGUAGCGGUGAAAUGCGUAGAUAUCGUAAGGAAGACCAGUGGCGAAGGCGGGUCUCUGGACAGUUCCUGACGCUGAGGUGCGAAAGCGUGGGGAGCAAACAGG